AGAGUUUGAUUAUGGCUCAGGAUGAACGCUGGCGGUGUGCCUAAUACAUGCAAGUCGAUCGGGCGUAGCAAUACGUCAGAGGCGUACGGGUGAGUAACACGUAGGUAACCUACCUUAAGGACUGGGAUACCCAGACGAAAGUUUGGCUAAUACCGGAUAACAACAUUUGAGACAUCUCUUUUGUUUGAAAGGCGCUGCAAGGCGCCACUUUUAGAUGGACCUGCGUCGCAUUAGCUAGUUGGUGAGAUAAAAGCCCACCAAGGCUGGGAUGCGUAGCCGAUCUGAGAGGAUGACCGGCCACAAUGGGACUGAGACACGGCCCGUACUCCUACGGGAGGCAGCAGUAGGGAGUUUUCGGCAAUGGGGGAAACCCUGACCGAGCAACACCGCGUGAGUGAUGAAAGGUCUUCGGAUCGUAAAGCUCUGUUACGAGGGACGAAUGAUCGCUUUAGGAAAUGAGAGCGGUUUGACGGUACCUCGCCAGAAAGCGACGGCUAACUACGUGCCAGCCGCAGC
rnacentral:rRNA from 1 species